AUAGAACCCACUGGGGAGGGACAGAGACCCAGAGACCCAGAGGGAGACACUGACACAGCGAGUGAUAGAGAGAGAGAGACAAAGACACAGAGGCAGAGACAGAAAGAGGAGGGGAGAGGGAUGGAGAGAGACAAAGUCACAGAGAUAGAUGGAGGGGGAAGAAGGGAGGAGGGAGAGAGAGAGAGAACAGAGACGGUUGACAGACAGAUUAGGAGAGGUGCUUCUGGUGCUGCUGGUUGUGCUAGGAAAAGGCAUGUUUCUCUUUGGACAGAUGUGCUGCCACUGCUGGAAGUAGGCUGACUGUGUCUCUCCCUGCUCUGAGCCUGGCACCAGAUUUGGCAAAACCAGACAGAGCAAAAGCUGCUUCCAGCCCACAGCACCCAAGGCUGGUCUCCUCUUUCAUCGCAGGGCUGCUAUGCACAGUUGCACAGGCUGUGCCCUGCACCAAGCACCCAGAAGAGGAUACAAGAGCCUGCCUGUGCUCCUUGAAGUAUCCCUGAGCCCUGAUGAACACCUGUGUCUACCUGGAGAGAGGGGAGCCUCUGCUCACAUGAGCAAAGGCAACAGGGAGACUGCAGAGGCCCGUUCCCUCCCACAGUCUCUAUUUUGCAAUAAGGACAUCAACUGCGAGUGGCCCAGAAGCCCAAAGCUGAGAGGACAAAGCUCCCUGGGCCCACUCAACAUGCAGAUGAUAAGGAUGAAGACCUUUAUGAUGAUCCACUCCCACUUACUGAAUAGAUGAAGUUUCUUGGUGAUGUAACAGUCUGUGGAAACUCCCACAGGACAAAUGCAGAAAGGAAGGACCUAGAUCACUGGAUGGUCAACGUUGCCCCUUGCACUAGCAGCAAAGGCCUAUACAAAUUUUUUGAGUAGCUUUAUCUAGUUGUCCAGCUACUGGGAAUAACUUGUAAAAUCCCCUGGAUAGUCAACAGCAUUGGGGCUUGCUUUGUAAACAGAGACCUGACCUACUUAAGUCUUCCCAGAGGUUGGAAAAAGAGGUUUGACUCACACAGACAUGAAACCUUGGCUUAAUUGGACACUAAUUACUCAUAAGAGAUCUGUUUACCCAAACUUCCCAUAGACCAAGCUCAGUACAAAAUGAGAGGAUGCAUGAAGAAGCAAGAUAUUUAGAGGAAAAUGUCACAAAUACAUUUAUCAGUCCCAAAAGUCCUUUUUUUUUUUCCCAGAAGUGAUGUUGCUAAUUGCACAAAAAUAAACAAUACGGGGUUGAUAAAUUCCACAUUUAAGGGCUGAGAAUAGUGUCCCUACAUUUCUAAGAAGCUGUAUAUUUGGAAAUGAAUACAAUUGAAAGUAAGGAUAAUUGGCAUUCUAAAGCCAAUUGGAUAACUUGGAUGAACAAACAGAAUUUACCAUAUUUUGAUAUGUUUCUUUGUGAUUAAAGUAUCUGUAAAGGAAACAAAUUAUUGUAUUGCUACAGAUUUUAUUACUGAACAAGAAAAAAAGGACUGAUGUCGUGCAUUUCCUUUUGGCCUUUGGUCUUGGCUGAUGUUGGGCAUCCAAUGAGCUUCUUUGUCUUGAAUGAAGACUUAAGAGGGAGUGAAAAGUAGGAAGAGCAUCAAAACUUCUUUGCAGGAUGUAAUCAAACCACCUACUACUUAUUGUCUUAUGACCCAUUUAUUCAACAAAUGGAAUAUCUCAAUUGCUCAAUGCUAUUACAGACACUAGGUAUAGUCUUAGACAAAACAAGUUGCUGUUUUUAUAUAGCUUGUAUUAUGGUUGAUGUAGUAAAGUCAAAAUUAUUUAAAUAAAGGAAGAUGUGAGGAAGACUUUAAACUUAGAAAUCUGGGUUCUCAUCCAAGCUUUGCUGCUAGCUUGUUGGGGGAACCUUGGGUGAUGAGUUGGUUGACUCCUUCUGGAUCUCAAUGUUCAUCCAUCAAAUGAGGGAACUUGACCAGAUAUUCAAUAAUGGCCCUUCCAGCCCCAUCUUUAUAUGAAAGGGAAACCACAGUAUGGGCCCAUGGGGAAGAUCAUGGACUUUGGAGUAAAACAUUUCUGGCUUGGUCAAUUGUUUAAUCUCUUGAUCUCGAUCAACUCAUGUAACUACUCUGACCCUCAGUUUCCUUGCUGCAAAAUGAGAUACUAAUAUUUGCUCAAAUAAGAUAACAGGCAAAACAAUCAUGAGGGCUCCUGGCACACCACUGUGCAUGGCUUUUGCCCCCUUGGGGAGCUUAUAAAUGAAAAAAAGAUUUUACAAUGCAAAGACAGUAAGCAUUUUGUUAGUGAAGCAACAAAAUAAUUGGGCAAUUUCCUCUCAAUUGCACCAUCAACUGAUGCCCAACCUAGAAAGCAUUUGGCUAAGAAUGGAAAAGGAAUCUUUGCCCAGAUCCCUCAAUUUUGACCAUCAUGGCAUAUACAUGAAUUGGCAGACUAAAUUUAUGCUCCUUUUGAAAACUGUGUCCAUUCCAAGAAGUCAGGAUAUUUUCACCCAGCCUGGCCUAGGCAGUGGGACUCCCCAAGGCUACAAGCAGAGCCACAGUGCUCUGGGCUGGGCUGCCACACUGUCAUGCUGGGGCAAAGAUGGCAGCAGACAGCUCUGUUGGGUAACAGCAGGAAGCUGAUCUCAUCUCUUAGGGGACUAUGGUAGCAACACAGGGCAAAAGCUAUAGGAAUUGUCCAACAUAAUAACUAUGUUUUUUUUUUUUAAUUUUCAAAACGUGAUAAAUGAUUAAGAAUAUAAAACUGGAAUUUAGAACUUACAAAGAACUUGUAUGAAUAAAUUAAAAAGACAACCUAAUUUAAAAAUGGGCAGAAGUCUUGGGCAGGCACAUUACAAUAUAGCAGGGGUCACCAAAUUAAAGCCUCACCGGCAAAAUCCACCUCCCACCCCAGCCUGUUUUUAUAAGUAAGCUGUGUUGGAACACAGCCAAUCCCAUUCAUUCACACAUUGCCCGUGGUUGCUUUUGCUUGACAACAGCAUAGUUGAGUAGUGGGGACAAGACCAUAUGACCUCCAAAGCCAGAGAUAUUAACUAUCAGGCCCUUUAUAGAGUGAUUCACAGAGACCCCCAUAAUAGAGGAAAAUACAAGUGGCCAAUAGCACAUAAGAAGACGCCCAGUAUUAUAGCUAAGAGGAAAAUGCAAAUUACACCCACAGUAAGAUACCAUUAUGCACCCAUUAGAAAGGCUAAAAUUAAAAGGACUGACAACAACAAGUGUUGACAAUGGUGGGCAACAGCGAGAGCUCUCACACACUGAUGGUUGAAGUGUAAAUUGGUUCAAUUUUGGAAAACAGUUUGGCAGUGUCUACUACAGUUAGACAUACAUAUUUCCAUGCCCCAGAAACUCCUGGGCAUAUUCUCAAAAGAAACUAGGGCUGUGGCCACCAAGAGACAUGUGUGAGAAAGGUCCUAGCACCUUUAUAUAUCAUAGUCCCAAACAGAAAACAACACAUACCCAUCCACUUUAGGAUGAACUAAAUAAAUUGGGGCAUAUGCAUUCGAUGGAAUAGUACAUAGCAAUGAAAAAAAUAAACUGUUGCCCCAUGCAAAGAUGUUUCACAGACAUAACGUUAAGCAGAAGGAAGCAAAUCUCAAGGAGCCCACACUGUACAAUUCCAAUCUAUAUGAAGCUCAAUAACACAUGGUACUAGAAGUUGUAAUAGCAGUUACCUGUGGGACCGGAGGUUUGUACUGAAAGAGGAGGAACAUCAGGAAGUCUGUUGGGGCCUGGAAAUGUGAGAUGUUGCUCUGGGAGGCAGUUGCAUGGCUGCAGACAUACGUAAGACAUUAUUGAAUGGUAUACCUGAGAUUGGAGCACCUACAAAAGAAGGUACAGUGUUACAUCUAAGUG